rnacentral:rRNA from 1 species
GACGAACGCUGGCGGCGUGCUUAACACAUGCAAGUCGAACGGAAAGGCCCUGCUUUUGUGGGGUGCUCGAGUGGCGAACGGGUGAGUAACACGUGAGUAAACUGUCCUUGACUUUGGGAUAACUUCAGGAGACUGGGGCUAUUACCGGAUAGGAGCUCUUGCUGCAUGGGGUGGGUUGGAAAGUUUCGGCGGUUGGGGAUGGACUCGCGGCUUAUCAGCUUGUUGGUGGGGUAGUGGCUUACCAAGGCUUUGACGGGUAGCCGGCCUGAGAGGGUGACCGGCAACAUUGGUACUGAGAUACGGCCCAGACUCCUACGGGACGCAACAGUGGGGAAUAUUGCACAAUGGGCGGAAGCCUGAUGCAGCAACGCCGCGUGCGGGAUGACGGCCUUCGAGUUGUAAACCGCUUUCGCCUGUGACGAAGCGUGAGUGACGGUAAUGGGUAAAGAAGCACCGGCUAACUACGUG